rnacentral:tRNA from 1 species
AGGCCAGUAGCAAAGUGGUCAACUGCGUGAGAUUUAAGGCGCUUAUGUUAAUUUACCUUUUCCUCGUCCUUCGGGUUCGUGGGUUCGAACCCCACCUGGCCUA